AGUUUUUCUUAUAUGAACAUACCUAGGCACUUUAUGACUUUUCAUAGGUUUAUCAGAGCUCCCAGCAUCACUCCUCUUGUACUUUGGGGCCAUUAUUAUCCACUAAAUAUCAUUAUUUAGUGGAUAAUAAUGGCUCUGCUCUGACAUGGACGUGACUUGUUACAGGUGAGAACUUCUGCCAAAGAAUGAUGUGGGAGUGAAUGUUUGGCACAAAACAAUGUAACGGCUCACAUGAAUGUGUCUCAGAGCGAGAAUGAGCAGAGUGGAUGAAAUGGAGCAGAUUUAAUAUGUAAUUAAAAAGAAUUAUUUUACUUAUUUUUCUGCCUUUAUUUUUUUCACUGUCAAUUGCAUAUACUUUAAUUUGCAUGUAUUGAGUCUUUGCAAAACUAGGUUCUACUGUUCUUUGCAUAUCUUUCAUAGAAGGUCCUAACUCCAAAGCCAGCAGUGGUCCUUGUGAGUCUAAGGGAUACUUUACAGGCAGUGAACCCUGGGCAUGUCCUGAAUUCAGAGGCUUACUAGAAUCUAACCAUGUCACUCCCCUUAAAAAAAUACCACAGUAUCUGUUGGUGAUGGAAUACUAUUGUGCUCAAAGGAAUAAUAAAGUGGAGGAAUUCCAUGGGAACUGGAACAACCUCCAGGAAGUGAUGCAGAGUGAGAGGAGCAGAACCAGGGAAAUCAUUAUACACAGAGACUGAUACACUGUGGCACAAUCGAAUGUAAUGGACUUCUCCAUUAAUGGCAAUGCAGUGAACUUGAAGAACUUGGAGGAAUCUAUAAGAAAAAACACUAUCCACAUUCAGAGGAAAAACUGUGGGAGUAAAAACACCGAAGAAAAACCUCUGCUUGAUUACAUGGGUUGAGGGGGAUAUGAUUGGGGUUAUAGACCCUAAAGGAACAUCCUAGUGCAAACAUCACCAGCAUGGAAAUAGGUUCUGAUCAAGGACACAUGUAAUACCCAGUGGAAUUGCGUGUCGGCUAUGGGAAGGGUGGGGGGAGGGGAAGGAGGAAUAGAAUAUGGUCUUUGUAACCAAGGAAUAAUAUUUGAAAUUGACCAAAUUAAAAAAAAAUAAAAAAAAUAAAGAAAUGCCA
rnacentral:lncRNA from 1 species